AGUCUGCCUAACAAAUUUUUGACCCGAAAUUAAAAUAAAAUAAAAACAGAAAACUCUAGAAAAAAUGUCAACACUAUUUCGCCCAACCAGAAGAGUCUGUAUUCGUCUUGUCAUUUCAUCUACCAGUGCUUUGUAAAGACGUUUCCAGAUUCUCAAGGAAAAACUUUUGCUCCAUGCCUAAUGAUCUUCUUCUAUUUUCUUUCCUUUUUCCUUCUUUCACUUCUUUCUGUUCUCAGUCUGAUUCUCACUUCUUCCUUUUCAUUUAAAAAGUUUUGUAAAGUCAUGUAUGUUUACUGAUGUAGAGAUCGUCUUUUCUUUCUUCAGCACUAUAGGUGGUACUGAUUCUAUUUCCAGAUGAUUUAUUCCAUCCCCGAUCUACUUCCGCUUCAGUAAUACCGUUUUCAUCGUACCCAGGAGCAAGCAUCAAAGUUUGUUUUGAAAAAACCUUUUUUCGGAGGCCUCCAUAGCUCGGAAUCCAGACUUGAGAUCUCCUAUGGCUUUCAUGCAUCCAUUUGUUCCUGGCUGACCAGAUAGCCCAUAUAGCGUAGAUGAAGUUCGACCUACUUCUGUUGUAUUGUUAAGUAGGAUCCAGGCAAACCGUUCCAUAAACUCUAAUUGAAAAAUACUCUAUGGCCAUGCAAAAUCCAAUUUUUCCCAUGUUUCCUUUGUGACAGCACAAUCGCGGAAGACAUGCUCUCUGGUUUCCAACCCUUGCGUGCAUCUUUGACAUAUUGCCUCAUUAAUUAAUCACUUAGUUCUUAGGUUUACUAGAGUAGGGAGAUAGCUGAGGGUAGCUAUCCAAGCUGUAAUAUUAAUUUUUGAAUGGAGGUCAUUGUUCUAGAGUUUUUUGUAACAUCUGUUAAUCUCAUUUGGCCUAUAAUUUUUAUUUCUUUGUAAAAGAAUCUUGUAUUCGCUGCGCACCGUAUAUUCUCCAGAUGCCUCGCCCCUCCAGCUUAGAAAGUCUUUAUGAGAAAAAUAAGCCAGUGGAAUUCGCAUAAUCUUUUGAGCAACCUCUUCAGAGAAGUUUUUUUAUCAGUAGGUAAUCAACGUUUGGAACCCAGACAUCUUCUUCAAUGCUGAUAUUACGCCUGUUACCCACCCUUCGUCGCAGUCUUGAAAGCAGAAGUCCUUUUGCAGCCCAUAUACUUUUCCAAGUAUAUGAUGGUAAGCUUCGUAAAUAUGAACUUAAAAAGUUAGAAUUUGGAUGAUACUUGGCUUUUAAUGUUCUUACUAAAAGGGAUAUAGGAUUAUCAAUUAGUCUCCAUCCUUGCUUCGCGAGGAGGGCCAAAUUAAAUUUACAUAAGUUACGAUAUCCAAGUCCACCCCCAUCUUUUAAUUCACAUAA